rnacentral:rRNA from 1 species
GACAGCAUCGCCGCGGUAAUACGUAGGUGGCAAGCGUUGUCCGGAAUUAUUGGGCGUAAAGCGAGCGCGGGCGGUUCCUUAAGUCUGAUGUGAAAGCCCCCGGCUCAACCGGGGAGGGUCACUGGAAACUGGGGAACUUGAGUGCAGAAGAGGAGAGUGGAAUUCCAUGUGUAGCGGUGAAAUGCGUAGAUAUAUGGAGGAACACCAGUGGCGAAGGCGACUCUCUGGUCUGUAACUGACGCUGAGGCUCGAAAGCGUGGGUAGCAAACGGGAUUAGAUACCCGGGUAGUCCCUGUCUCUUAUACC